ACGGGGCAUUUUGCGCGAUUCGGUUAUCGUUUUUCAGUCUGUCAAAGAACGGGGCUUGGGAACAUGCGCCAAGGCCAUGCGCAGUGAAUGUGUUUGUAGUACAGAAAACAACCCUCUGCACUGCCUCGCCGAACCAUCCACCACAACAGGGAAAGCACUGAUGUAUGGAGGUGGCGCUGUACCCCAUUCCUCGCUGUGAUUUGAUUGAUGAGUCAGACGGUGAGGACCAAUGCAUUAUCGUUUUCCAAAAGGCGGUAGUAGCUGCAUUUCAAAGUGCUCAUCCGGCGGCCAUCCUCUCUUCCUUUGAGAAACGUUUCCUGAGAGCCCAGUUUAAGGUCAGAGCACACGUGGUGUUUCAAGUCAAAUGCUAACAGCGUGGACUUCCUUUGAAGCGGCCUGGAAAGGUGGACAGGAAGGAGGACCUCCGAAAUUUGGGCUCAGAAAACUGCUCUACCUCUUUUCUAUUUUCAGUGAAAAAAAAAGAGAGAGAGGGAUACUCCUAUUGAGGUCAAAUAACCACGCAUAGUGAGUGAUGCCCUUAAUUCUGCAGGUGGACUGGUACAGGAAGGACUUCCGCAAUGUAGCCUCUGAAAGCAACAAUCUUCUCUGAAGUGUCACUCAAAAAAUAAAAUGCUCCUAUUAAGAUGUAAUUAGGAACGCAGUACUCAGGAAAGGCCC